AGGGUAAUAGCUUAGUGGUAGAGUGUAUGCUUAGCAUGCAUGAGGUCCUGGCUUCAAUUUCCACUACCUCCA
rnacentral:tRNA from 1 species